rnacentral:snRNA from 1 species
AUACUUACCUGACGCGAGAGGCACCUUGAUCAACUAGGAGGUCCUCUCAGGAUGAGGCCCUUUCAUUGCACUUCGACUGGGUUGACUCCUGCGAUUACCCCUAAUGUGGGUAACUCGAGCGUGUAAUUUCUGGUAGUGGGGAUCUGCGUUCGCGCUCGUCCCCU